rnacentral:rRNA from 1 species
GCCCCGUACGCGAAAGGAUCUUUGAAGUGAAAUCGAGUAGGACGGAGCACGAGAAACUUUGUCUGAACAUGGGGGGACCAUCCUCCAAGGCUAAAUACUACUGACUGACCGAUAGUGAACCAGUACCGUGAGGGAAAGGCGAAAAGAACCCCGGAGAGGGGAGUGAAAUAGAACCUGAAACCGUAUGCGUACAAGCAGUGGGAGCCUACUUGUUAGGUGACUGCGUACCUUUUGUAUAAUGGGUCAGCGACUUAUAUUCAGUGGCAAGCUUAACCGUAUAGGGUAGGCGUAGCGAAAGCGAGUCUUAAUAGGGCGUUUAGUCGCUGGGUAUAGACCCGAAACCGGGCGAUCUAUCCAUGAGCAGGUUGAAGGUUAGGUAACACUGACUGGAGGACCGAACCCACUCCCGUUGAAAAGGUAGGGGAUGACUUGUGGAUCGGAGUGAAAGGCUAAUCAAGCUCGGAGAUAGCUGGUUCUCCUCGAAAGCUAUUUAGGUAGCGCCUCAUGUAUCACUCUGGGGGGUAGAGCACUGUUUCGGCUAGGGGGUCAUCCCGACUUACCAAACCGAUGCAAACUCCGAAUACCCAGAAGUGCCGAGCAUGGGAGACACACGGCGGGUGCUAACGUCCGUCGUGAAAAGGGAAACAACCCAGACCGCCAGCUAAGGUCCCAAAGUUGUGGUUAAGUGGUAAACGAUGUGGGAAGGCUUAGACAGCUAGGAGGUUGGCUUAGAAGCAGCCACCCUUUAAAGAAAGCGUAAUAGCUCACUAGUCGAGUCGGCCUGCGCGGAAGAUGUAACGGGGCUCAAACCACAC